rnacentral:rRNA from 1 species
AGUGAACGCUGGCGGUAGGCCUAACACAUGCAAGUCGAACGUCAGCACAGUAAGUGCUUGCUCUUACUGGUGGCGAGUGGCGGACGGGUGAGGAAUACAUCGGCAUCUACUUUUUCGUGGGGGAUAACGUCGGGUAACUUACGCUAAUACCGCAUCCGACCUACGGGUGUAAGCAGGGGAUCUUCGGACCUUGUGCGUUUUAAUGAGCCGAUGUCUGUUUAGUUCGUUGGCGGGUUAAAGGCCCACCAAGUCGACGAUCCGUAGCUGGUCUGAGAGGAUGAUCAGCGACACUGGAAAGGAGACACGGGACAGAGUCCGAAGGGAGGAAGAAGGGGGGAAUAUUAGACAAUGGGCGGAAGCCUGAUCCAGCCAGAACGCGUGGGUGAAGAAGGUCAUCGGGUUGUAAAGCCCGUCUGUUGGGAAAGAAAAGCAGCAGGUUAAAACCCAGCUGUUCUGACGGUACCCAAAGAAUAAGCACCGGCUAACUUCGUG